rfam:Meloidogyne hapla strain VW9 Mh10g200708_Contig78, whole genome shotgun sequence.
GCUUCGGUGGCGCAGUCGGCAGCGCGUCAGUCUCAUAAUCUGAAGGUCGAGAGUUCGAGCCUCUCCCGGAGCA